rnacentral:rRNA from 1 species
AUUGAACGCUGGCGGCAUGCCUUACACAUGCAAGUCGAACGGCAGCACGGGAGCAAUCCUGGUGGCGAGUGGCGAACGGGUGAGUAAUAUAUCGGAACGUGCCCAGUCGUGGGGGAUAACGCAGCGAAAGCUGUGCUAAUACCGCAUACGAUCUAUGGAUGAAAGCGGGGGAUCGCAAGACCUCGCGCGACUGGAGCGGCCGAUAUCAGAUUAGCUAGUUGGUGAGGUAAAGGCUCACCAAGGCGACGAUCUGUAGCUGGUCUGAGAGGACGACCAGCCACACUGGAACUGAGACACGGUCCAGACUCCUACGGGAGGCAGCAGUGGGGAAUUUUGGACAAUGGGCGCAAGCCUGAUCCAGCAAUGCCGCGUGCAGGAUGCAGGCCUUCGGGUUGUAAACUGCUUUUGUACGGAACGAAAAGCCCUGGGUUAAUACCCUGGGGUCAUGACGGUACCGUAAGAAUAAGCACCGGCUAACUACGUGCCAGCAGCCGCGGUAAAAC